rnacentral:rRNA from 1 species
AGCUCCAAUAGCGUAUAUUAAAGUUGCUGCAGUUAAAAAGCUCGUAGUUGCAUUUCCGAGGCAAGGGAUUAGUCCGACCUUUGGUGGGUAUUUAAUCCUCUUGCCUCGUCCUUGAGUGGUGCUUCUUGGUAUUAAGUUAUCGAGGAGAUAGCCGCUCAUCGUUUACUGUGAGAAAAUUAGAGUGUUCAAAGCAGGCUUAUGCCGUUGAAUAUAUUAGCAUGGAAUAAUAAGAUAGGACCUCGGUACUAUGUUGUUGGUUUGAGAACCAAGGUAAUGAUGAAUAGGGACAGUUGGGGGUAUUCGUAUUCAGUUGUCAGAGGUGAAAUUCUUAGAUUUACGGAAGACGAACUACUGCGAAAGCAUUUACCAAGGAUGUUGUCA